AGUGGCGGACGGGUGAGUAACGCGUGGGUAACCUGCCUCAUACAGGGGGAUAACAGUUAGAAAUGACUGCUAAUACCGCAUAAGACCACAGCACCGCAUGGUGCAGGGGUAAAAACUCCGGUGGUAUGAGAUGGACCCGCGUCUGAUUAGGUAGUUGGUGGGGUAACGGCCUACCAAGCCGACGAUCAGUAGCCGACCUGAGAGGGUGACCGGCCACAUUAGGACUGAGACACGGCCCAA
rnacentral:rRNA from 1 species